CACAGAUCCUUUCAUAGAUUACAGAUAUUUAGCAAAUGGGUUUGAUGAGCACCACAUAAAUCCUAGCAGUCAGAGCACUACUGUCUUUCUUAUUUUUCUUUAUUUUUUGGCAAAAACUAUAAGUGAAGGAGUUGGGUUCUAAUGAUGCAGCUUCACCUUGGAUAGGGAUUAUGAGCAACUAAAGAUGGCAUGGCACCUCUGUGGCUUUUCCUGGGUUUGUUAGGUGGAUGGACUCACAUUCAAAUGGUGGUGGGCUAAUGGCUAAUCUUAUUGAUUGGUGUACAGGUGAGGAGCUUGCUUGGGCUGCAUGUGUUUGUUAUUUUAUCUGGCAUGCGAAAAAUCAAUUGGUUUUUAUUGGCCAUUCUUGGUUGUCUUAUGAGAUUGUGAAUAGAGUCGAGUAUCUCUUGCUUGGAUUUUAGCAGACUAGAGUGGAUGAUGUUGAUGUUCAGGUGGACACCAAUCGCCCAACAAAUUGCAGGUGGACUCUUCCUCCAAAAGGUUGGUGAAACUUAUUGGGAGCAUUUUUUUCGUGAUGAUUAGGUGAGUAUUGGCUUCAGCUUUGAAGAGAAUGCAUGGGUCUUGGGCUGUGAUGUUGCAGACGCUAUGGCUAUUUUUUACGGGUUUUAGCUGGCGAUUAAUUUAGGUUUUAAGCAGUAAUUAUAGAAUUAGAUUGCUUAAAAGUUAUUGAGUUAUUAUGGUCCAUAGAUUUUUUCCAGAAUGGCCUUAUUAUGUGUUCCAAGAUUGUUUAGAUUUCGCUUAGCUGCUGGAUUCCUAUUCUUGGUCUUUUGUGCUUCCAUCUGGCAACUCAAUUACUCAUGCUAAGGCAAAGCUUACUCUUGUAAGUGAUGGUAAGAAUGAGUGCAUAUGUAUAGAAG
rnacentral:misc_RNA from 1 species